rnacentral:rRNA from 1 species
GACAGAGGGUGCAAACGUUGUUCGGAAUUACUGGGCGUAAAGCGCGUGUAGGCGGCCAUCUAAGUCGGGCGUGAAAUCCCACGGCUCAACCGUGGAAGUGCACUCGAAACUGGAUGGCUAGAGUCCUGGAGAGGAAGGUGGAAUGCUUGGUGUAGAGGUGAAAUUCGUAGAUAUCAAGCGGAACACCGGUGGCGAAGGCGGCCUUCUGGACAGUGACGUGACGCUGAGACGGCGAAAGCGUGGGGAGCAAACAGG